rnacentral:rRNA from 1 species
UACGUAGGUGGCUAGCGUUGUCCGGAUUUACUGGGCGUAAAGAGCGCGCAGGCGGUCGUUCAAGUCGAGUGUGAAAGCCCCCGGCUCAACUGGGGAGGGUCACUCGAUACUGAUCGACUCGAAGGCAGGAGAGGGAAGCGGAAUUCCCGGUGUAGUGGUGAAAUGCGUAGAUAUCGGGAGGAACACCAGUGGCGAAGGCGACUACCUGGCCUGUUCUUGACGCUGAGACGCGAAAGCGCGGGGAGCGAACGGG